GAUGAACGCUAGCUACAGGCUUAACACAUGCAAGUCGAGGGACCGGCGCACGGGUGAGUAACACGUAUCCAACCUGCCCUUUACUCGGGGAUAGCCUUUCGAAAGCAAGAUUAAUACCCGAUAUAAAGGAUGGGGAUGCGUUCCAUUAGGUUGUUGUUGAGGGAACGUCUCACCAUGCCUGCGAUGGAUAGGGGUUCUGAGAGGAAGGUCCCCCACAUUGGAACGGAUACACGUUCCAAACUCCUACGGGGUGCAGCAGUUAUGUAUAUUGGUCAAUGGGCGCUAGCCUGAACCAGCCAAGUAUCGUGAAGGAUGAAUGCUUAUGGGUCGUAAACUUCUUUUAUAUAAGAAUAUGUAUUAUAUGAAUAAGGAUCGGCUAACUCCGUGCCAGCAGCCGCGGUAAUAC
rnacentral:rRNA from 1 species